rnacentral:rRNA from 1 species
AUUGAACGCUGGCGGCAGGCCUAACACAUGCAAGUCGAAUGGUAACAGGAAACAGCUUGCUGUUUCGCUGACGAGUGGCGGACGGGCGAGUAAUGUCUGGGAAACUGCCUGAUGGAGGGGGAUAACUACUGGAAACGGUAGCUAAUACCGCAUAACGUCGCAAGACCAAAGAGGGGGACCUUCGGGCCUCUUGCCAUCAGAUGUGCCCAGAUGGGAUUAGCUAGUAGGUGGGGUAACGGCUCACCUAGGCGACGAUCCCUAGCUGGUCUGAGAGGAUGACCAGCCACACUGGAACUGAGACACGGUCCAGACUCCUACGGGAGGCAGCAGUGGGGAAUAUUGCACAAUGGGCGCAAGCCUGAUGCAGCCAUGCCGCGUGUAUGAAGAAGGCCUUCGGGUUGUAAAGUACUUUCAGCGGGGAGGAAGGGAGUAAAGUUAAUACCUUUGCUCAUUGACGUUACCCGCAGAAGAAGCACCGGCUAACUCCGUGCCAGCAGCCGCGGUAAUACGGAGGGUGCAAGCGUUAAUCGGAAUUACUGGGCGUAAAGCGCACGCAGGCGGUUUGUUAAGUCAGAUGUGAAAUCCCCGGGCUCAACCUGGGAACUGCAUCUGAUACUGGCAAGCUUGAGUCUCGUAGAGGGGGGUAGAAUUCCAGGUGUAGCGGUGAAAUGCGUAGAGAUCUGGAGGAAUACNCGGUGGCGAAGGCGGCCCCUGGACGAAGACUGACGCUCAG